rfam:Agrilus planipennis Contig7482, whole genome shotgun sequence.
AGGUAGAGGGGUUUUAAUCGGUAGAUCCGAGGAAUUCUUCCUCGGGAAUCCGACACUACCCAGUCGUACGGCCGGCUGGGUGUCUUUUGAAGAUUUCCCCUCUUCC